rnacentral:rRNA from 1 species
UGGUGGGUUGCCUUGUCAGGUUGAUUCCGGUAACGAACGAGACCUCCGCCUGCUAAAUAGUCACGGUUGGGUUUCCAGCCGGCGGACUUCUUAGAGGGACUAUUGGCGAUUAGCCAGUGGAAGUUGGAGGCAAUAACA